AUUGAACGCUGGCGGCAGGCUUAACACAUGCAAGUCGAGCGGGGUGAUGGUGCUUGCACUAUCACUUAGCGGCGGACGGGUGAGUAAUGCUUAGGAAUCUGCCUAUUAGUGGGGGACAACAUCUCGAAAGGGAUGCUAAUACCGCAUACGUCCUACGGGAGAAAGCAGGGGAUCACUUGUGACCUUGCGCUAAUAGAUGAGCCUAAGUCGGAUUAGCUAGUUGGUGGGGUAAAGGCCUACCAAGGCGACGAUCGGGAGCGGGUCUGAGAGGAGGAUCCGCCACACUGGGAAGGAGACACGGCCCAGACUCCUACGGGAGGCAGCAGUGGGGAAUAGUGGACAAUGGGGGGAACCCUGAUCCAGCCAUGCCGCGUGUGUGAAGAAGGCCUUAUGGUUGUAAAGCACUUUAAGCGAGGAGGAGGCUCUUUUGGUUAAUACCCAAGAUGAGUGGACGUUACUCGCAGAAUAAGCACCGGCUAACUCUGUGCCAGCUGCCGCGGUAA
rnacentral:rRNA from 1 species